GACGAACGCUGGCGGCGUGCUUAACACAUGCAAGUCGAACGGAAAGGCCCCUUUGGGGGUACUCGAGUGGCGAACGGGUGAGUAACACGUGAGUAACCUGCCCUUGACUUCGGGAUAACUUCAGGAAACUGGGGCUAAUACCGGAUAGGAAUCCUUGCUGCAUGGUGGGGGUUGGAAAGCUUCGGCGGUUUUGGAUGGACUCGCGGCUUAUCAGCUUGUUGGUGGGGUAGUGGCUUACCAAGGCUUUGACGGGUAGCCGGCCUGAGAGGGCGACCGGCCACAUUGGGACUGAGAUACGGCCCAGACGCCUACGGGAGGCAGCAGGGGGGAAUAUUGCACAAUGGGCGGAAGCCUGAUGCAGCAACGCCGCGUGCGGGAUGACGGCCUUCGGGUUGUAAACCGCUUUCAGCAGGGGCGAAGCUUGUGGUGACGGUACCUGCAGAAGAAGCACCGGCUAACUACGUG
rnacentral:rRNA from 1 species